rnacentral:rRNA from 1 species
UGGGGAAUAUUGCACAAUGGGCGAAAGCCUGAUGCAGCAACGCCGCGUGAGUGAUGAAGGUCUUCGGAUUGUAAAGCUCUGUCUUUUGGGACGAUAAUGACGGUACCAAAGGAGGAAGCCACGGCUAACUACGUGCCAGCAGCCGCGGUAAUACGUAGGUGGCGAGCGUUGUCCGGAUUUACUGGGCGUAAAGGGUGCGUAGGCGGAUGUUUAAGUGAGAUGUGAAAUACCCGGGCUUAACUUGGGUGCUGCAUUUCAAACUGGAUAUCUAGAGUGCAGGAGAGGAGAAUGGAAUUCCUAGUGUAGCGGUGAAAUGCGUAGAGAUUAGGAAGAACACCAGUGGCGAAGGCGAUUCUCUGGACUGUAACUGACGCUGAGGCACGAAAGCGUGGGUAGCAAACAGGAUUAGAUACCCUGGUAGUCCACGCCGUAAACGAUGAGUACUAGGUGUAGGAGGUAUCGACCCCCUUCUGUGCCGCAGUAAACACA